UUCGCUCUCUAAAACCCUAGAAGAAACCCCUAACUUUUCACUUUCGAAAUUGAAAGUUGGAACCAGAAAGACCAGAGCUUGAUUCAAAUCGCUUCUGCUUCUGGUCUGUGAAAUUUUGUAGUUUAUACAAACAAAUACAUAUCUAUUUUCUCAAUAUAUAUAUAUAUAUAUUUUAUAUAUAUACAUACACCAAGGCACUGUGAUCAAAAUACAAUGGCCAUGGACGGUAGUUUCAGUCUUCAAUUUUCACUCCAAAGGUUCCUUGAUCGUUGCCCAGAGCUUCGGUCUUUCCCGCAGUUUGAUUCGCUUGCUAAUGAGAGAGACAUUGUGACAGAAGAGGAGGUGGUAAAGGUGCUGGGGGAGGUGUUUCUGCACCCAAAUUAUACCAUUCCUUUGAUGGGAUGUUUUCGCCCGAUAGCCAGAAAGAUAGUUGACAAAGCUGUGGGCUUGCUUUGGCAUCUGGGCAAGUCCAAUGCGAAUGACAUGUCAGUGGAGGUCGAAGAAGAGGAAGAUUUGAAUGAAGUUGUUUCGGUAAUUGAGCACUACAAUCAAGCUGGGAGGGGUCUUGAUCUUCACGAGCUUGCUUGCUUGGCCUUCUGUUGCGCCCUUGACUUGGCUCCUUUUUUAUUGGGGUCUAUAUUAAAAUAUUUCGAAUUUACUCCCCCUCCUUUUGAGCGCAUUUCAAAGGAAGGAAAAAAAUCCUUGGCUGUGUGGUAAGUUUGGAACUCGUAGAUUAUGUGCUGCUCGGACAUCUUACUGCCUCCUCCUCAUGGAUUCAGAAAUCUUUUCUAAACUUAGGAACUGGAACUGGUCCUGUUUCUUGGAUCUUGUAAAGCAGACCUCCAAUCCUGACCUGAGCAGCAGUGCUGCAGAUAUUACUGUAAUUGCAGACAUUAAAUGGUGUGGGAUACAGAUACUAUGAGUCAUUCUGAAAAUAAGCCACAUACCAACUCCACACUUUAGUACUGGGGCCACAGAAGCAUUCUCAUGUUUUUUGCGCUGGAAGGAGUUCUGUCAAGAUACAUCACUGGAGAAGGCUGGUUUGUAUAUUAAUUCAUCUGAACAAAAUGAGUUCAGUUCUCCUAGUAGAAGCAUUGAUUUCAACCAAGAGAACUGUCUUUACUCUUCUGGCCUUUGUUCUCUGGCCAUUUCCUCUUCACAGGUUGAUGAGAUUGAACCACCAACUCGGAGUAAAAGGCUUGCUACAGGGGAGGAUAUAUCAGUUGGAAAUAUGUUCUUUUUGACAUCUGCUGUGAAGAAAAUUUUUGAGAUGGUUAUGUUGGCAGUAAGUCAAAAGUGGCCUGUUCUUCUAUAUGGUCCUGCUGGCGCUGGGAAAUCUGCUCUUAUUCACAAGUUGGCCCAGGAUAGUAGGAACCAAGUUCUGUCUAUCCACAUGGAUGAUCAAAUUGAUGGUAAAACCUUAAUGGGAAGUUAUGUUUGUACAGAGCAACCCGGUGAAUUUAGAUGGCAGCCCGGGUGACUUACCCAGUCUGUUCAGAAUGGAUUUUGGGUUGUAUUUGAGGAUUUUGACAAAGCACCAUCUGAUGUGCAAUCCAUCAUACUACCUUUGCUGGAAGGUGCAAAAUCAUUUUCAAAUGGGCAUGGGGAGGUAACUGCUUG